UAUUUAUCCGAAAGAAGAAAGUUGUUGACUCAAUUGGCUCUAUAGUCUAGGUUACGCUUUGCUUCUUCUUCUUCCUCCGCCUCGCUCUCUCUAGCGUUUCUUUAAGGCUAACCUAACCACAACAAUCGUAUUACAGGAUAUAAUGUCAGAAGAGGUGGAAUACCGGUGUUUUAUUGGCGGUCUAUCAUGGUCUACUUCUGAUAGAGGUCUCAAAGAUGCAUUUGAGAAGUUUGGUCAUCUCCUUGAAGCUAAGGUAGUUGUUGACAAAUUCUCUGGACGCUCUCGUGGAUUUGGCUUCGUCACGUUUGAUGAAAAGAAGGCAAUGGAAGAAGCUAUUGAUGAAAUGAACGGUAUGGACUUGGAUGGCCGCUCAAUUACUGUCGAUAAAGCACAGCCUCACCAAGGCUCAGGCAGAGACCAUGAUGGUGAUCGCGGGCGUGAUCGUGGGCGUGACCGUGACAAUGGAGGAAGACGCCCAUCUGGUGGCGGAGGAGGAGAGUGCUUCAAGUGUGGUAAACCUGGACAUUUUGCUAGAGAGUGUCCAAGUGAAGGGGCAAGAGGUGGUGGCCGGUAUGGAGGCAGAGAUGACAGGUAUAGUGGUGGUGGCGGUGGCGGGGGUGGCCGUUAUGGUCCUGAUCGAAAUGGAGACAGGUCUGGUGGGCGUAGCAGGGAUGCUGGAAGCCGUGGAGACCGGUCUGAUCGAUCUGAUCGUGACCGUUCUGAUCGAUCUAAUCGUGACCGUUCUGGACCAUAUGAGCGUCGUAGUUCAGGAGGCUUUCGUUCUGGAUAGAAUCACUUGUUUGUGGCAUGUUCUGGUCAGUUAGUGGAUAUCUAGUGUUCUAUUGCAGCUGCGGUUUUGGAAACACUGGGGCUACUGUAUUAAAUGUUGAAGGAAUUGAUCUUAUGCUUGCUUGACAUGCACAUGUGAGUUGGGUCUUAUUCUCUUCAAAUGCCAUAACUGCUGCUGGGUUUAUCGUGAAACUGUAUUCAUAGGAAGCUCUGGUACCAUUAUGGCCACCGCUCUUAGGAAAAUUACAAUUUUGAGAGGUAAUUUGCCGUUGGAUGGGCAUUUGGAGGACUAAUGGUGAGUGUUCUACUAUUGGGAGUGAUCCUGUUCUUAUUGAGGAGCAGAAGCUGUCUGAUACUCUAAUGACCAUUUGAGUUACCUUUAUUCAGUGUCUUGUUAUUUUGGAUGUGAUCGGGAAUUGUCACUAUUUAUGGCCUUUUUGGAUACAUGAAUGGGUUUCUUUGUGCUAAUUGGACAUCCUUUUUUAAACUUUAAAAUAGUGAUAGCCUUUUGGCUCGCCACAAGCUAGGCCAGAGUCGUGUCCUAUUUGGCUUGUCAAUCAAAGAGAUGGAAGAGUCCAUUCUUCAUAAACACUCGACAGUUUGUUUGGAAGCUCUUCAAGAGUUUUGCAACUGCUGCCCAGUGUUUAUUAUCUGUCUCGUAUCACUUGGAUGGCAGAUUCUUGUUUUUGCUCUGUUUCUCUACCUGCAUAGGAUGUCUGGGUCCAGAUGAAUGCUUAUGGUCGUUUAAGGUCGGAUUGUGGUUCUGUUCAAUUCUGUUGUGCUCUAUGUCGUGGAUUUCCCUACAGUGUCUGUUGGAGACCGCAGCUCGUUUUUAAUGUCCUCUCUGAACCAAAAGUAUCAUUUCAAUGUGUUGCUUGAUUCUGCAUUUCUGGUGAUGUACGCACGACCUUCUCCAAUAUCUUGACACGGUGUUAGAAUUCAAUGUUCUUGGAUUUGCUCUCUGCAUGCUGUUUUUUCUUUUUUCUUUUUUGAUAAUUAUUAUCACCUUCUGAGGUGAUGUCAGUUUUAUUAUUUUCUUCAUUAGUUUUAAAAACUCAAGUGUUUUUUCCUUGACUUUUAGGUAUCAGUUAACUGGAA